CCAGAGAACUUAGCAGAGAUGCUUUGGUGCCUUCGGGGAACUCUGAGACAGGUGCUGCAUGGCUGUCGUCAGCUCGUGUUGUGAAAUGUUGGGUUAAGUCCCGCAACGAGCGCAACCCUUAUCCUUUGUUGCCAGCGGUCCGGCCGGGAAACUCAAAGGAGACUGCCAGUGAUAAACUGGAGGAAGGUGGGGAUGACGUCAAGUCAUCAUGGCCCUUACGAGUAGGGCUACACACGUGCUACAAUGGCGCAUACAAAGAGAAGCGACCUCGCGAGAGCAAGCGGACCUCAUAAAGUGCGUCGUAGUCCGGAUUGGAGUCUGCAACUCGACUCCAUGAAGUCGGAAUCGCUAGUAAUCGUAGAUCAGAAUGCUACGGUGAAUACGUUCCCGGGCCUUGUACACACCGCCCGUCACACCAUGGGAGUGGGUUGCAAAAGAAGUAGGUAGCUUAACCUUCGGGAGGGCGCUUACCACUUUGUGAUUCAUGACUGGGGUGAAGUCGUAACAAGGUAAGCGUACGUGU
rnacentral:rRNA from 1 species